GAAACUAUAAAACAUUAUUUUCUUUAUUGUCCAAUUUUUGCUGCCCAAAGACAGAAACUGCUCUCCUCUGCUGCUCAGCUGUUUGCUGACGAUUGGUCAAGAAUAAACGACGCACAAAUUGUUGAAAUGUUUUUGCAUGGAUCAUCUUUAUUAUCAUUAGAAUUAAACAGAGAGUUAUUUUCUCUUGUGCAGUCGUACAUAAAUGAAACAAAACGUUUUCAUCCGCACGAUUCUUGACUUCCGUCAGUUCUUUUUUUCCCUCUCUUUUAUUAUAUACUUGGCAUGUUAUGAAAUACUGUGUGCAAUUGUAAGGAGUGAGCCCCCUAGAUGAGCGCAUGCGCUCUUGGGGCAAACUUCGUUUGUUUGAACAAUUAAAAUAUGUUUAAAUCAAUUAUUACUAUUGAUGCCUAUAGUGCUGUUCCAACGUGCAAUAAUGUGAAAAAAGAGAUGAAAAAGUUUUUUUCAUCAAGUGAGAAAAAGAAUAUUACUUCUAUAGAUGUACAAAAAUAUAUAUAUUGCUGCUUAGAAAUACUCCCCAUCACUUUUCUAAUAAUGGUCCGUUCCAUAGUUGUUUAGCUUUCCAGACAUGAAUUAUAAAUUCUGAAUAAUGAUUUUGAGGGCUUGCCCAAUCAUGUAAAUACCCACCAAUCAGAAGACUGUAUUUUAAUGCUAAGGGACGGACCAUUAGAUAUUUGAGGGGAGGGUUGGGCAAAUACCAAAAAAAAAUUCAUGCACAGAAAAAAUCCAGAAAAAAUAUCAUGCACAACAAGCCUAUUGAAAAAAAAAUGAGCAUAAAAUCGUAAUGCAAUUAUUCUAAAACAUUAAAAUGUGUUUUACGACAGUCGAAAAAAAAAAUUAUGCCUUCUUCCCCCCCUCCCGUCGACGAACUUUCCGGGAAAAAUUUUUUAGGUUAUGUUAAAAAAAAUAUUGUGCAAAGGAAUGUUGCAGAAAAAAAAUUCUUGCAAGCAAUUGGGGGUUGAAAAAAAAUUCGUGCACAGAAAAAUUGCCCAACCCCCCCCCCAAAUAUCUAAUGGUCCGUCCCGGAGUUAAUCAUAUUCAAAAUUUGAAAUUUUAUAGGGCGGGUUGCAGACUUGCAGUGUUUGUUAGUCCGCGUGCAGGCCCAAGGGAGGCUAAGUGUUUGUUUGCCUGUUUGUGAAAAGAAAUACUUAAAAGACAACGCUUAAAAACAUCAAAGAAGCACAAAAUCCGAAGUUAAAGACAGGAGUAAGGUAUAUUCUAUCAUUUUGAUGUGAAAUGUUGAUAUUUUAGCGAGAUAAAGUGGUUAAAACUACUUGUCGAAGUUCACGACCGCAAGUCGCUUCACGUUCGACGUUCGUUUUGUACUUUUGUUCUGGCUAAAAAUACUGAAUUAUAGCUUACAUUUCGUGAAGUUUAGUUUAAAUUAGUAGAGAGAAGAGUGCAUAAAGUAUUUAGGGUAUUUUGGAGCUAAAUUUGUUUUAAAACUUGUCAUUUUAGCGAAAACAAGAAAUGUUGAAAUGUCGUCCACGUGGUUGCUGCGAGGAGACAUCGGGCAUUGUAAUGAAUGGAUGACAACGUGUGUCGCUGGGCCGCAAACCUAUUCCCUCACUGCGGUAGGCAGUCAAGUAUUUUUAACCUGCACAUUUUUGUUUUUAUUUCCCGUGUUUUUAUUUUUUGUUCAUAAAUAUCAUGACUCAUGACUUUAAAGCUGGAAGGAGUUGAGAUUCCCCACUCAACUGCAUGCCUUCUGAAUAUUUAUAGACUCCAUUUUUACAUGCUACCAUUUUACCAGUAAGAAUUUUUUGAAAAUUUUGUGAUUUGAAAGCUGUUGCAUUUCAACUAUACCGAGUGCAACUAUAAAUAAAUUCUUUGUACGUAUAAAAUAGGUACGCCGUAUGACAAGUCCAAAGCAUGCAUGGGCAGUGUAGGCAGUUGUGAUAUUGAAAAAAAUCGAUAUCGAAAAAAAAAUAUCGAUAAUAUCGACUAUAUCGAAUUUUGUAAAUGAGAAAACGUAAUUUAGUCAACUUGCAUGUAUACGCAUCACAAACAGUUCAAAACAGUACAUGAAACCAGUCAUGGUAUGUCUCAAAGAUUUUAAAACAACAGUUUAUCCGUUUAUGAAAGUUUAAAGAUAUAUUUACAAGCCUAAUGGUUUCGCAGCACGUUUGUUCGCAAUUGCCGCCAUAUGUACGUUGUCUAAACUUCACUGCUGAAAACAAUAAUUGCCAAAUAAUGAGAGAUUAAGUUGUUUAGUUACAGCUUUCAAUAUUUUUGAUAUGCGAAAAAUCGAAUAUCGAUAUUUUUGAAAUAUCGAUAUAUCGCAACUGCCUAGGGCAGUGUCAUUUCAACUUUAUUAUUUUUCCAAGGUCUCUGUGAGACUUUGACUCAUUCAGCAUGAACAAAAGCAGUACAUGUAAAAAGAAAGGCGCCGCUUUUUGGGUGUACUGUUUGUACAUGUUGAAUGGCUGGAAGUGUUGCAGGUAUCUUGGGAUAUCUAAUAAAGUUCUGAUGUUAUUUCAGUGCUGUUUCUAUAAAGGGCAGCUUGCUAUGGCUAUAUGCCUUAGCCUAAAAAAAUAGUGUUAUUAAACUACAUGCUAAAAGUUUCUAUUGGCUGUUAGAAUGGUGGCUUGUAAGUGGGGGUAUCUUGCUAGGAUUUGCACAUUUAAAUAUUUACAAGUGCAUUAGGUCUCUUAGGUUUUAGUUUAAGACCAACAUGAGCGAGUGAGAUAAACUCGACUAGCUUAAGAUAAGGCAUCAAGCGUGAAAUUCACGCACUAGACCCCUCAGGAUCGGACCCCAAACCUUUUUUCAACACCAAAUGUGAAAUUACCCCAACCUUACCACAUCGUUGAAGAGUUAUGGUGGAUAUCUUGGGCAAAUGUGCAUUUUCUUGGUGGAUAUCUUGGGCAAAUGUGUAAUACCAUGAGGAAUAUCUUGGGCAAAUGUGCAUUUUCUUGGUGGAUAUCUUGGGCAAAUGUGCAAAUACCAUGAGGAAUAUCUUGGGCAAAUAUGCAAUAUGAAGGAUAUCUUGGCAAAUAUCUGGAUAAAUUGGUAUAUAUGAUUACUUGUUUUAAAUUACUAAAGAAGGAUAGUGUCGUAACGUUAGGCGAGACUUUUUUAUUCAUUGGUUUACGGAUCCGCCAACCGUAAAUAUUCAGAAAGUAAAAAAUAAAAUAAAAAUUUGGAUGUCAAAAAAUUUUACAAUUUUAAUUAAUUUGGGGUUCUGACAUGAAGAACACUUCAAGUGAACUUUGAGUCUAGGUACUGCUGGCUCAUGUUAUCGUUGUGACAAUCAAUAUGGAGAUUAGC